rnacentral:rRNA from 1 species
GGACCUUACCCACCUUUGACAUGUACGGAAUUUGCCAGAGAUGGAUUAGUGCUCGAAAGAGAACCGUAACACAGGUGCUGCAUGGCUGUCGUCAGCUCGUGUCGUGAGAUGUUGGGUUAAGUCCCGCAACGAGCGCAACCCUUGUCAUUAGUUGCUACAUUCAGUUGGGCACUCUAAUGAGACUGCCGGUGACAAACCGGAGGAAGGUGGGGAUGACGUCAAGUCCUCAUGGCCCUUAUAGGUGGGGCUACACACGUCAUACAAUGGCCGGUACAAAGGGUUGCCAACCCGCGAGGGGGAGCCAAUCCCUCAAAGCCAGUCGUAGUCCGGAUCGCAGUCUGCAACUCGACUACGUGAAGUCGGAAUCGCUAGUAAU